CCAUCAGAGGCCAAGUCAAAGUCAAGGCAGGGGAAUCACUGAGGAAAGAGUGUGCCUACCUUUUGGACGCAGCCUUAGGGUGUCCAGAUCACGGGUGUGAUGGAGUGCGCGCCGUCCCUGCCCCGCGAGGCGGCCAGCCGGGCUGCCGGUGCAGAUGUCUGAUUCCAACCUUGUGCUCAUCCACCCCGUUGUGCUCCUGACGGGAGAAACUGUAUCUGUAACAACCCUUACAGAACCUGUGGCGAAAGGAAAAGCCAUCCCAGGCGACGGCAAAGCUGGGCCCAGCAGAAACUGACCAGCGGGAACUGAGGGUGACUUCAGAGAAACGGCUGGAGGACAGUUGGGUAGAAGUGUUGUUUUUCUUCCCUGUGGCCCCUGAGAAUAUAUCCAGGCCAAGGAACUGUAAGCCCAUCUCACGUGGAGUCCUGUGCACCCAUGUUCAUAGGAGCGUUAGUCACAACCGCCAGAGGGCGGAGGCAGUCAGCGGACGGGCAAACAAGAUGCAUAAAGAACAUACGGUGUCCCCGGAGCACAGAGCGGAAGACCCCCCGGAGAGCAGCGGCGCGACCGAAGCCCCGGGCAGCAGCCAGGAGAGGCCGGAGAGGCGGUCGGUCAUCUUGUACGACUGCUCGGAGGAGGAGCUGAUGGCCAGCAUCGAGCAGGAGUACUGCCACUGAGGCCCCGCCGGACCGGCCUCCGGGAGCCUGGGCUGGGGGUGCACCCUGCCCCUCCCGGGCCGAGCUAGCUGGAGCUGAGCUGCUGCCCACAGGCAGCUACGCACGGACUUUCAAACCGUUUCCCACCCACAUCAGAGGGUCCGGAGCUCGCCAGCCGCCGGCCUGCGUGCUGCCGCCAGGAGGUGGUCAUCGGGGCGGCCGGCCGGAGGGAGUCGCCUGAGUUCUGCAGGUGAAUGUCCUGGAGAUGAAAUGCAGAUUCUGACUCGGCGGGGCCGUGGGGGCCUCCGAGCCCGCAUUUCUAACGGGCUCCCAGGUGAGACCACCUGCGGGCUCCCAGCCUCCCCUGAGGAGCAGGACUGAUGGAGUCUGUGCAGGAGGCUGCCUCCCAAAGGGAUCCUGCCCGCUGGGCCUCAGGGAGUCCUGGAGGCUCUGCCCACUCUGACAACUGGGAUCGCAGGGUUCCAGGCUCCCUGCCCUGCCUGGUUCCCACCCACCCCGCCCCCUGGGCACGGAACCGCCCGCCUGGAGAGGCUUGCGGGGCCACCUGCCCUCACCUGGCCGGUGCUGCGGGGCCUGGUCCUGGCCUCCCCGGCGGAGGGAGUGGACAUCAGCAGAGAGGCCAGAGGAGACUGACAGAGACAAGGCUGCCCAGGACGCCCCUCCAUCACAGGCUGGUCCAGGACUGCAGCCUGACGGGCAGGCGGGGAGGCGGGACUUCCGGCGUGGCCCAGGUGUGGCUGCUCCCGGAAGCCGGAAGCGGAAGCACAGGGAGAGGCGUGGUCCGGAAGCCCCGAGACCUGCCCCCCGGAGCGCUGGUGAGGGCAGCCCGCAAAGGGGCACGUGGCGGCCGGAUCCGGAAGAGGUCCCGGCUAG